GGGCGGUUAGCUCAGUUGGGAGAGCGCUGCCUUCGCAAGGCAGAGGUCGUGAGUUCGAAUCUCAUACCGUCCA
rfam:Candidatus Entotheonella sp. TSY2 genomic scaffold TSY2_scaffold00061, whole genome shotgun sequence.